rnacentral:rRNA from 1 species
CGUGUAGGCGGCCAGACAGGUCCCGUUGUGAAAACUCGAGGCUCAACCUCGAGACGGUCGAUGGAAACCGUCUGGCUAGAGUCCGGAAGAGGAGAGUGGAAUUCCUGGUCGUAGCGGUGAAAUGCGCAGAUAUCAGGAAGAACACCUAUGGCGAAGGCAGCUCUCUGGGACGGUACUGACGCUGAGCGCGAAAGCGUGGGAGCGAACA